ACGGAAAGUCAGGGACAGGAAAAUUGAUCAAGCUACCCAUUAUCUUGUGUUGUGCGAUAGAAUUAAAUAUAACAAUGACAAAGUGGAAUUCCGUAGUUUUUAUUUCACUUUGCUUGAGUUGCCUGCUAGUCCAGUCAGAUGCGGGUUUGCUUAAGUCAGCUGCGGCUUGGGUUGUUGACGUCUGCUCUAUAAGGAAAUUUGGUUUCAACACUUUGGCGGAGCAUCUAUUUGAGGUCUGCUCGAAGAAAUUUAAAUAAAUAUCAAGAAAUGUUAUGUUCCACCACUUUUGUACACAAAGGAGAACAACAUUCUGGAUAAAAAAAAAGUUAAAAUGAAUAAAAAAUGAAAAAUAAAAAAGCUUUCAAACUUUAGUAAAAAAACAAAAAAACAACAACAACAACAAAAAAACUAUACUCAAAAGAUAUCAUGUUGUGUGUCUUUUUUAUGUGAUAAUAAAUUAGAUUCAAUAAGUUAACGCA
rnacentral:sRNA from 1 species